UACGUAGGUCCCGAGCGUUGUCCGGAUUUAUUGGGCGUAAAGUGAGCGCAGGUGGUCUUUUAAGUCUGAUGUGAAAGCCUUCGGCUUAACCGGAGUAGUGCAUUGGAAACUGGGAGACUUGAGUGCAGAAGAGGAGAGUGGAACUCCAUGUGUAGCGGUGAAAUGCGUAGAUAUAUGGAAGAACACCAGUGGCGAAAGCGGCUCUCUGGUCUGUAACUGACGCUGAGGUUCGAAAGCGUGGGUAGCAAACAGG
rnacentral:rRNA from 1 species